rnacentral:rRNA from 1 species
UUGAUGAAAUUGACGGAAGGGCACCACCAGGAGUGGAGCCUACGGCUUAAUUUGACUCAACACGGGAAACCUCAUCCAGACCAGCUACGGGAAGGAUUGACAGAUUGAGAGUUCUUCUUAAUUCAGUGGGUGGUGGUGCAUGGCCGUUCUCAAUUGAGCAAUAACAGGUCUGUGACGCCCUUGAUGUCUGGAGCCACACGUGCGCUACAAUGAAAGAAUCAGCGCGUCCUGCCAUAGUCCGACAGGACCGAGCAAUACGCUGAAACUCUUUCGUGAUAGGGAUCGGGGUUUGGAAUUGACGCCGUGAACGAGGAAUUCCCAGUAAGCGUGAGUCAUAAGCUUGCGUUGAUUACGUCCCUGCCCUUUGUACACACUGCCCGUUGCUACUACGAACUGAAAGAUUUAGUUCGGUCUUUGGACUGGCAGCUGCAGCAGCCCUCGGGUUGUUACUGCAUGUCGGGAAGAUGAUCGAACUUAACCAUUCGAUGGUGGAAGUAAAAGUCGUAACGAAUUUUCU